UAACGGCCACAGCUGAAAACGGACGUGUCGUGUCGUGACGUGACGUGUUGUGUCUCGCCUUGAGGGUACUCAAAAUUCUCGACUCUUGCCCGAGUGUCUGUCCGUGUGCGCCCAAGGGCCGACAACAAAACGAACUGUACACACACAGAAAAAAAAAAUUAAAAUAUAAAAAUAAAUAAAAAUAGGUAAAUACGAGCGUGGAAAAUGUGUGUAAAAAUAUGCUAGCGCAUUAAUGUUAAUGCAUCGGUUGUUCUCACCUUGAAAACCGAACCCGUUGCGGUCUCCGAUGCCGUUUCCGAUGCGUAGAGCGCGUGUGUCUGUGACAAAUUCUGUGGCCAUUUCAAGCGGAAAAUGUAAGCCACAGCAGCUUAACAAAAAAAUGCCUCUCAGUGCGUAGGCUUAAAAGCAACCAAAGCGUAAGGCUCGCGAAAUUUUCAACUCUAAAACUCUCUCUGUUUAUUCUGGCCUCUAAACCUUAUACCUGCAAUAUAUAUACACACAUAUAUAGCUCUCGAUAUAUGUAUACAACGGUGCGUGUACUUCUUGUCAGGUAAGUACA